CGUGAUGAAAAGUCACCAGGUAGCUGGUGAGAGAGGCUCUGCUCUGCAGUGGGGAUCAAACAUGGUACAGUCCUGAGCAGUUCCCUUGCCAGCAGCUCAAGGGCAGAAAGGUUUUCCCAGUCUUGGAAAGCAGCAUAUAGCCUGGUUUGACACAGCCAAUGGUAGCAGGUUCCUCUUGCCCCUCUUCCAGGGCUGGCAGCACACCCCCCAGGCGAUGGAGUGCAGAGGGUGGGUUACCAGCAGUGUGCUGUGGCUGCAGCACUGAGAUGUGCUGGGCCCCUGCACAGCCCCGUUACUCAUCAGCACAUGUGCUCUGUGCCUGGCACACCAUGGCUGGAUGGCUCCUGCUAGAGCAAAAAGGCUCACCUGGCUGGAAAACCACCUGGUUCUGUUGUAUUACUUCCACCAUGCUAUAAACCCUCUAAUCCUUGCCUGGAGCCUGGGGGAAGUGACCUGGAGUUCAGUUUCUCAUUUUCGUUGGGAGCUAUCACAGCCACUCUGAGCUCCUGCACCACUGCAAUCUGCUGGGCAGAGGCAAUGACAGUGAGUGUGCUUCAUCCCAUGAGGUUUGCUGGGACUUAGAGGUCAACUGACCAAGUGUGACCAGUUUGGGAAGUUCCUGCUGGUAGCAGAGGCUCUGCCCUUAGUCCUGAGCCCUUUGGAAGGAGCUGAUAACCCCUUGGCCAGCUGGCUGGCACUUCCCAUUAAUGCUCUGCCUGCAGUCUGGUGCAAUCUCAUCCCCAUAGCAAACCAAAUACUUUUGGGAAGUGUCAUCUCCAAGUUGUUCAUAUGUUUCUGAGUAGAGGGCUGGGGAAAGAGGCUGCUUAGUCAUUUAAAAAUGUCACAGUUCCCCCAGCCACUUUAUCUGGGAAGUUCUCUGCCUCUUGGUUGUUUGUGGGGAGGGGUGGGGAGUGUUUUGAAACUUUGGGGGAAGUGAUGUUUGUGGUGAGUGUGCUGUUUAGGAGCCCUGAUAAAAAUUCCACUGCUCACCAAGUAAAGUUGUGAAAUCAAAAUAGAAAUUAAGAGCAGAGGAUAAAUGGAUGGAGACUAGAACUAGGAAUGAUGCAGGGGCAUGCUGCAUGGCAGAAGGAUCUGCCCCAUGUGUGAAAGGCUAUUCAAGCAUUCUAGCUCUCUUUUGCUGUCACCUGGCCACAAGGGAAUUUGGUAACAUGGCACCUGCUGCUGCUGGGCCUCUGAGGAGAAAGCAGCUCUUGCUGUUGGUUCUGCCAUGUCCUGCCUUUCCAGCCUGGGGAAACUUAGAGCUGGUCAUAGUGGCUGCAGCAGUCACUGGUCAGCUCAUCUCUGGGAAGGGACCAUCAGCUUCAUUAGCAGACUUUGGCAACUGGUUUUGAGAUCCUUCAGAAGGAGAGGGCCUGAGGCUGAUUUUGGGCUGCAGGAGUCAUUUUGUGUGGUCUUCAUGGUCACAGGCUGUGUCUUCCAGAAGGAGUGCAUGGAUGGAAGAUGCUCAAUAGCUAACUGUACUCAUCCUGCUGUGUUAAUCCUGCUGUGUCCCUGCUCACCAAGACCAAACUAUUCAUUUUCUCACAAGUUUCUCUGGGGUACUUAUUGCUGUGACAUCCAAGCACUUCACAAACAGUAACUGAAUUUUGCAGCCCUCUCUUACAGAGGACAAGUGUCAACUUUGUCCAGUAUGGAUUAAAGAUAAUUUGUUAAUAGAAUUAUGUUUUUGUUUUCUUUAAGCAGACAUUGAUUUAUGAAGGUGGUCUGUUCAAUGUAAAAACAAUAACAGUGUUGACUGCCAGUGUGCCUGAUCUCUGAGCCCAGAGUGGGGAACUCAUCUGAGCCCAGAGCCAGCUCUGGGAACCACAGGCUGGCCCAUGGGUGUGGGGGAAAUAUCUCCUGCAGUUCAGCCUAGUUUAGCUAUUUUUUAACUAAGAAGCUACUUGAAAGUUAAAAAAAAAAAAGAAA